rnacentral:rRNA from 1 species
CAGGUCAGCAUACUGCCGUGAAUAUGUUCCCGGGCCUUGUACACACCGCCCGUCACACCACGAGAGUUGGGAAUACCCGAAGCCUGUGAGCUAACUUUUAGAGGCAGCAGUCGAAGGUAGAAUCAAUGAUUGGGGUGAAGUCGUAACAAGGUACC